CCGGGGCUAAUACCGGAUAAUAUUUUGAACUGCAUAGUUCGAAAUUGAAAGGCGGCUUCGGCUGUCACUUAUGGAUGGACCCGCGUCGCAUUAGCUAGUUGGUGAGGUAACGGCUCACCAAGGCGACGAUGCGUAGCCGACCUGAGAGGGUGAUCGGCCACACUGGGACUGAGACACGGCCCAGACUCCUACGGGAGGCAGCAGUAGGGAAUCUUCCGCAAUGGACGAAAGUCUGACGGAGCAACGCCGCGUGAGUGAUGAAGGCUUUCGGGUCGUAAAACUCUGUUGUUAGGGAAGAACAAGUGCUAGUUGAAUAAGCUGGCACCUUGACGGUACCUAACCAGAAAGCCACGGCUAACUACGUGCCAGCAGCCGCGGUAAUACGUAGGUGGCAAGCGUUAUCCGGAAUUAUUGGGCGUAAAGCGCGCGCAGGUGGUUUCUUAAGUCUGAUGUGAAAGCCCACGGCUCAACCGUGGAGGGUCAUUGGAAACUGGGAGACUUGAGUGCAGAAGAGGAAAGUGGAAUUCCAUGUGUAGCGGUGAAAUGCGUAGAGAUAUGGAGGAACACCAGUGGCGAAGGCGACUUUUCUGGUCUGUAACUGACACUGAGGCGCGAAAG
rnacentral:rRNA from 1 species